GUCUGUGAUGAAAACUGUGAAUAGGAAGUGCCGUCCGAUGCGACAACUGACGAUGUUACUCAAUCACUGUUC